rnacentral:rRNA from 1 species
UACGUAGGGGGCGAGCGUUAUCCGGAUUUACUGGGCGUAAAGAGCGCGUAGGCGGUUCAGUAGGUUGGACGUGAAAGGCGCGGGCUUAACUCGCGUUUGCGUUCAAAACCAUUGGACUGUGAGGGCAGUAGAGGAAGGUGGAAUUCCGGGUGUAGUGGUGAAAUGCAUAGAGAUCCGGAGGAACACCGGUGGCGAAGGCGGCCUUCUGGGCUGACCCUGACGCUGAGGCGCGAAAGCGUGGGGAGCGAACUGA